GUCACCGAGAGAGAGCUUGAGAGUUUCCUCUAGCCUCUCUCCCUAGCUAGGCUUCCAUUCCUAGCAUUCCUCUACACCAUUUGCAUCACAUUUCAGCACCUAAACCUCUACCUUCAUUCAAUUUUCCCCUACACCGCUUCAUUAGUUUCUCAUCAGCGAAUCACUGUUCGAUUCAAUCUGCCUCUGUCACAACCUUAUCUUCAUCACCGAGUCAUCCAUUUUGCUUCAAUCCAGCCACCGAACACCAUUUGAAGAGUGACUCUCAUAGUUUUUGCUUCCUCCGUUCAUCAUCAUCAUUCUUCAAUCCAUUCCGCUGUGUUGCCAAGCACAACUUCCAUUGGUGCGUGCUGCUGUUGUCCAAUCAGAGAAGAAGAUACAGUUGAUUACUUCCACCACCAGAAUCAUCCAAAUACUUCUUCCAUCAAACCUUCACCCUUUAUUCUCAUGUAUAUACUGCAAAACAUUUCAAUGCCCCUGCACACUGUUUCCCACACUGUUAUAAUCACCAAAAGAUUCACUCCCUAACGCCAACUAAUACAUGACCAUUCUUACUUAUUUUCUACUCUCUCCGUUCCCUUUUCCUUACACACACACACCCUCCAAUUAUAUCCACAAUCACAACACUGCAUCAUAUUUCCCCAACUUCUCCUUUUAUCCGUAUGAUCGAACACCUCCAUUUUCUCUCUUCUUCAUACCAAAGCAUUCUAUAAUUUUUCCAUUCAUUCAUAAAACCCAAGACCCUUACAACCCCAACCUAGAAUACCACUUCCCUCUCUGCCAAACCUAACAACAAAUUUUCCUUCCUUCCAAAAUCUUCUAUAUCUCUCACAACCUUAAACCUCAUUCAUUAACUCACUACAAAUUAAACCCAUUUCUCCUUCAAUAUCGCCCUUGCCAGAACCAUGUCGCACCAUAUUUCUUCCUUCUUUUUCUUCUUCUUAAUUGUAAGGAUUAAACCUCAACCUUUUACUACUACCAUUUCUUUCUUUCUUCACACUCACCUUUCAUCACCACACCCACAUUACUCUAAACACACUUCCUUUCUCCUUACAUUCUUGUAUUUCUUCUUUUAUCUUUUCUUUCUAAACCAACUCUACCCAAUUAUAACCAGUACCUCUCUUUGCUUACUAUUCCUAAUUUUUCUACCACCGAAAUCUAUAACCAUCUUUAAAUAAAGAAUGAUAGCUAACACUCCAAAACACUAGUGCAAAAUAGGUUUUUUUUACUUGUUAAAGAGGCU
rnacentral:lncRNA from 1 species